CAUUGCUUAGGUUUUGUUAGGACAUUACCACACUUUGUAAAUCAUCAUACUUUAUGAAGUAAUGACCUCUUUAUUACCUCAGUAGGAAGGUCUGCAUUCAUUUAUCACAUGGUAAAACUGGUCUUGAUCCUUGAAGAAACUAAGCAAGGAGUGAGAGCUCUGUUGUUCUGCUGAUGGGGCUCAGUCUGUUCUUCCUCUUUUCCAACAAUCACACUUAUUUCCAGGAAAGAGUUAGCAGUAUUGAUAUAGUCCAGGGACUCCUAGAAACACCUGUUGUGUUGCUUUGGUGAGCAGAUGCUGUUCAUCUUCCAUGGCACCUGUAUUUUAUCUGCAUGGAGAUGAGCUCAGCCAGAGUACUUCUCAGAGAGGAUACCACGUGGAUGCAAAUAAGAGCAGAGAAAGCACCGAGUAGUUACAAUGGUCCUUGCUGGGUGUUUGGAGAAGCUAAUUAUUUGAGAGAGAAACAAGCCUAGGAAAGACUUUUGGGAUUAGGUGAAAAGUGUACCCUUGCAGGGAGCAAGAAGCCAUGCCAUGCCCAGGCUUUCGAUCGCUCCACCACAGGAUAUCAUUGUCCACAGGCCCUAACUUUAGUUCUUGAUUUUUCCAACCUCUCUUUAAAGUUUAUUCUUAUUUUCCAAAACUUAGAAACCAUGCCCAAUGGAAUAUUGGCUGUGAAAUGAAUGAAUGUGUGUCUCUGUUAGAUCAGCCAGGCUGUUUCUCUUAACACAUUCCCCCGACAUGAUUCUGAGAUACAUUAACAUCACAAUGCUUUCUUGACCAUCGAGUCACACAGAAAUGAAACCAGUCUGAAAAGAUUUACUUUCCACAAGGCUAUUUAAGUUACGACUACAAUUUUUCUAGAGUCUCUUCUAGUUCCAAAGUACACAUAUAUGAGUUAUCUUUUUCUUUUCAAGACGAAUUUUCUGGUUAUGCUCCAUUGUAAAUCCCCUUUCGAAGUAGAAAGGACUUGUAAAUAAAUAAUAUGAGAAAUUAUUGU